CAGCGCCACAAGUGGCAAUCACGUUUAUUGGGCCUAAAGCGUCCGUAGCCGGUUUAGCAAAUCUUUUGUGAAAUCGUCAGGCUUAACUUGACGAAUUGCAGAAGACACUACUAAACUAGGGACUGGGAGGAGUCAGAAGUAUUCUGGGGGGACCGGUAAAAUGGUAUAAUCCCCAGAGGACUACCGAUGGCGAAGGCAUCUGACCAGAACAGACCCGACGGUGAGGGACGAAAGCCAGGGGAGCAAACCGGAUUAGAUACCCGAGUAGUCC
rnacentral:rRNA from 1 species